GAUGAACGCUAGCGGCAGGCCUAACACAUGCAAGUCGAGGGAGAGGUUACCUUCGGGUAACCAAAACCGGCGCACGGGUGCGUAACGCGUAUACAAUCUGCCUUUCACAUAGGGAUAGCCCGAAGAAAUUUGGAUUAAUACCUAAUGGUAUAUAAGAGCGGCAUCGUUUUUAUAUUAAAGCUACGGUGGUGAAAGAUGAGUAUGCGUUCUAUUAGCUAGUUGGAGAGGUAACGGCUCCCCAAGGCGACGAUAGAUAGGGGUCCUGAGAGGGAUGUCCCCCACACUGGUACUGAGAUACGGACCAGACUCCUACGGGAGGCAGCAGUGAGGAAUAUUGGACAAUGGUCGGAAGACUGAUCCAGCCAUGCCGCGUGCAGGAUGAAGGUCCUAUGGAUUGUAAACUGCUUUUGUAAGGGAAGAAUAAGGAGUACGUGUACUUUGAUGACGGUACCUUACGAAUAAGCAUCGGCUAACUCCGUG
rnacentral:rRNA from 1 species